AGAGUUUGAUCCUGGCUCAGGACUAACGCUGGCGGUAUGCCUUAGACAUGCAAGUCGAACGAGUUUCCGGGCUUGCUCGGAAACUAGUGGCGAACGGCUGAGUAACGCGUAGGUGACCUACCCCGUAGUGUGGAAUAACUGCCCGAAAGGGUAGCUAAUACCGCAUGUUGAGCCGACAUCAAUGUCGUCUCCAAAGCAGAAAUGCGCUAUGGGCGGGGCCUGCGUUCGAUUAGCUAGUUGGUGGGGUAAUGGCUCACCAAGGCGACGAUCGAUAGGUGGUCUGAGAGGACGAUCACCCAGACUGGGACUGAGACACGGCCCAGACUCCUACGGGAGGCAGCAGUCGGGAAUUUUGCGCAAUGGGGGAAACCCUGACGCAGCAAUACCGCGUGUGGGAUGAAGGCCUUCGGGUCGUAAACCACUUUUUUCGGGGACGAUAAUGACGGUACCCGAAGAAUAAGCCACGGCUAACUACGUGCCAGCAGCCGCGGUAAUACGUAGGUGGCAAGCGUUGUCCGGAUUUACUGGGCGUAAAGCGCGCGCAGGCGGUGAAUGAAGUCGAAAGUGAAAGCCCCGAGCUCAACUCGGGAACUGCUUUCGAAACCAGUUCACUUGAAGGUGGAAGAGGGAAGUGGAAUUCCGAGUGUAGCGGUGGAAUGCGUAGAUAUUCGGAGGAACACCAGAGGCGAAGGCGACUUCCUGGUCCAAUCUUGACGCUGAGGCGCGAAAGCUAGGGGAGCAAACAGGAUUAGAUAUCCUGGUAGUCCUAGCUGUAAACGAUGGAUACUAGGUGUUGGAGGUUUUAACCCCUUCGGCGCCGCAGCUAACGCAUUAAGUAUCCCGCCUGGGGAGUACGGCCGCAAGGCUAAAACUCAAAGGAAUUGACGG
rnacentral:rRNA from 1 species